UACGUAGGGGGCAAGCGUUGUCCGGAUUUAUUGGGCGUAAAGAGCGUGUAGGCGGCCAUGUAGGUCCGGUGUGAAAACUCGAGGCUCAACCUCGAGAUGUCGGCUGAAACCAUCUGGCUAGAGUCCGGAAGAGGAGAAUGGAAUUCCCGGUGUAGCGGUGAAAUGCGCAGAUAUCGGGAAGAACACCCGUGGCGAAGGCGGUUCUCUGGGACGGUACUGACGCUGAGACGCGAAAGCGUGGGGAGCGAACAGG
rnacentral:rRNA from 1 species